UACGGAGGGUGCAAGCGUUAUCCGGAUUUACUGGGUUUAAAGGGUGUGUAGGCGGGUCUUUAAGUCAGUGGUGAAAUCUCCGAGCUCAACUUGGAAACUUCCAUUGAUACUAUUGAUCUUGAAUUCUGUUGAGGUGGGCGGAAUAAGUCAUGUAGCGGUGAAAUGCAUAGAUAUGACUUAGAACACCAAUUGCGAAGGCAGCUCACUAAACAGAUAUUGACGCUGAGGCACGAAAGCGUGGGGAUCAAACAGG
rnacentral:rRNA from 1 species